rnacentral:rRNA from 1 species
GUGCAGCAGGCGCGAAACCUCCGCAAUGCGGGAAACCGUGACGGGGCCACCCCGAGUGCCCCCUUACGGGGGCUUUUCCCCGCUGUAGGAAGGCGGGGGAAUAAGCGGGGGGCAAGUCUGGUGUCAGCCGCCGCGGUAAUACCAGCCCCGCGAGUGGUCGGGACGAUUAUUGGGCCUAAAGCGCCCGUAGCCGGCCCGGCAAGUCCCCUCCUAAAUUCCCGGGCCCAACCCGGGGACUGGAGGGGAUACUGCCGGGCUAGGGGGUGGGAGAGGCCGAGGGUACUCCCGGGGUAGGGGCGAAAUCCUAUAAUCCCGGGAGGACCACCAGUGGCGAAGGCGCUCGGCUGGAACACGCCCGACGGUGAGGGGCGAAAGCCGGGGGAGCGAACCGGAUUAGAUACCCGGGUAGUCCCGGCUGUAAACGAUGCGGGCUAGGUGUUGGGUGGGCUUAGAGCCCACCCAGUGCCGCAGGGAAGCCGUUAAGCCCGCCGCCUGGGGAGUACGGCCGCAAGGCUGAAACUCAAAGGAAUUGGCGGGGGAGCAC